rnacentral:lncRNA from 10 species
GAAGAUUCCCUCCCCACACCUCCUGUUCUCUGUCCCAGGUCUCCUGGCCCCCUGUGCUCCUAAGUUCAGUCUCUGUCGGCCCCCAGCAUCAUUUCCAGGGUUGGUGGGAGGCAGCUGCGAACAGUUUAGGGCUAAAAGAAUAUCAGCAGAGGAGCAGCCCUGGUGUUCCCACAGGAGUGAAGACGAAAAAGAAAAAUACUGGCCGUAGCCCUGAGACAACCACUUCUGGUGGUUGCCACUCACCUGGGGAUGUGAGUCUUGGUUGGUCAGCUUCCUGGGGACAGGGGACCCAAGGGGCAGUAGAGGGUAAUUGUUGAGUUUGUUGGAUACUGGUUAAGAAUUCUG